rnacentral:lncRNA from 1 species
AUAAGUUGUGUGGUAAACAGUUGCUUACCAUCUUGGAGGAUCCCAAUGCAUUUUCAAAUUUUACACUUUGUUUUUCAGGAGGGGUUCAGGUUUGAUGACUAAAGCUUACUUUAUGUAAAUUGGGGGUUAUUUAUAUUUUGAAGGUGUCAUUUUCUUUACAGUAUUUCUUGGUCUCAGAUGCAUAACUACACAUAAACUAGUCUUCAGAUUUUUAGAUGAACCAUGCUGCUUUAUUUAAGACAGAAAUGAACAGAGAUCCCUUGUACUCUCACUCUUCAAAGUGUCUUCUGAGUAUGCAAGGGUUUUCAAAGACAUGACUGAGGAAAAGUUUUAAGCUUUGUAUGUUACUGAUGACUUGCUACCAAACAGAAUGACCUGAUUCCAAGGCAUUAUAAAUGUGCAACUAGACAUGAAGUACUUUUCAUGCUUUGUAUCCAGGUAUGGUUUUCUCUAUUGAGAUAUAUGUUCUAGACAGCAAUGUAAGGCAGAAAAGUUCUCUCAUCAAUGUUAAAAAUUUCCUCUGUUGAGUAUGGCCAUUCACCAAUUAUUUUAUUCAGUCACUCGAGGAUAUUGAUUUGUAACUUCUGCAUUUCCACUAGUAGUCUCCCCUGAAAACUUUCACAUUGUGAAAUCCUACAUGAUUCUCAAUUUUGAGAAGCAACUUUGCUUGCCUCGAAGUUUUAGGUGCCCAUACUAUCAAACUUACUGCUCUUAUACGAAAGCACAAAAUUGUACAGUCAAAAGCACUACUGAGCAGAUGUCAAUUACAAAUGCAUUCUUUAUUGCUAACGUUUUUGUUGCAUUAAGCACUGAAAACGGAACCUUUAGGCUACAUAGCAGGUCUAUACAAAACUAUCUAAUAUUGUUUUUAAAAAUGUUUUUAGAAUAAUUAAAUUCCAAAAUCGUUAUAUUGCCAUAGAAGCAAUAGAAACAAAAGAAUAAAUAAACUUAACUAGGUACAAAACAAAUAUAGUAUCCCAACAAUUGUAUAUUUACAAGUUAAAAUUAAAUAAGUAAAAGUAUACAUAAUAUCAUAGGUCUCAGAGGAUCUAAAAACAUAAGAUUAAAAUUAAGAAUUAAAAUUACUAUUAAAACUCAACACUAAAAAUUAGUCUUAAUAAUUGAAAAUUCUGAAACGCUACUAGGGUAAUAUAACAUGCACUCCAGAAUAAAGAUCGGUAUGUCAAGCCAUCUUAUUUAAAAGAUACUUCCAUGAAGCUGGUAACUCUUGUGCUGGAUGACUAUUCAAGAGGUUUUUCUUUCAUGCUAUCAGUAUAAAGAAAGAAGACUUUGUCGAAGGCAGUUUACGUACAGCUUUAGCAGUGUCAGUGUAUGAGAAAGACAUACAAGUUAAUUGGCAUGAGGCUAAAAUAGUAAAACCAUUGGAAUAAGAAAAACAUGCAUUCUUAGCUGAGGCAAUAGAAAUUUAUACUGAUAGCACGAA